rnacentral:rRNA from 1 species
CCCGUGGCGGGGUGCCUAUACAUGCAGUCGAGCGGACAGAAGGGAGCUUGCUCCCGGAUGUUAGCGGCGGACGGGUGAGUAACACGUGGGUAACCUGCCUGUAAGACUGGGAUAACUCCGGGAAACCGGAGCUAAUACCGGAUAGUUCCUUGAACCGCAUGGUUCAAGGAUGAAAGACGGUUUCGGCUGUCACUUACAGAUGGACCCGCGGCGCAUUAGCUAGUUGGUGAGGUAACGGCUCACCAAGGCGACGAUGCGUAGCCGACCUGAGAGGGUGAUCGGCCACACUGGGACUGAGACACGGCCCAGACUCCUACGGGAGGCAGCAGUAGGGAAUCUUCCGCAAUGGACGAAAGUCUGACGGAGCAACGCCGCGUGAGUGAUGAAGGUUUUCGGAUCGUAAAGCUCUGUUGUUAGGGAAGAACAAGUGCAAGAGUAACUGCUUGCACCUUGACGGUACCUAACCAGAAAGCCACGGCUAACUACGUGCCAGCAGCCGCGGUAAUACGUAGGUGGCAAGCGUUGUCCGGAAUUAUUGGGCGUAAAGGGCUCGCAGGCGGUUUCUUAAGUCUGAUGUGAAAGCCCCCGGCUCAACCGGGGAGGGUCAUUGGAAACUGGGAAACUUGAGUGCAGAAGAGGAGAGUGGAAUUCCACGUGUAGCGGUGAAAUGCGUAGAGAUGUGGAGGAACACCAGUGGCGAAGGCGACUCUCUGGUCUGUAACUGACGCUGAGGAGCGAAAGCGUGGGGAGCGAACAGGAUUAGAUACCCUGGUAGUCCACGCCGUAAACGAUGAGUGCUAAGUGUUAGGGGGUUUCCGCCCCUUAGUGCUGCAGCUAACGCAUUAAGCACUCCGCCUGGGGAGUACGGUCGCAAGACUGAAACUCAAAGGAAUUGACGGGAGCCCGCACAAGCGGUGGAGCAUGUGAUUUAAAUUCGAAGCAACGCGGAAGAACCUUACAGGUCGUGACAUCUCUGACGACCCUUAGAGAUAGGCUUUCCCUUCGGGACGGAUGACAGUGGUGCAUGGCUGUCGUCAGCUCGUGUCGUGAGA